rnacentral:rRNA from 1 species
AACGAACGCUGGCGGCAUGCCUAACACAUGCAAGUCGAACGAGACCUUCGGGUCUAGUGGCGCACGGGUGCGUAACGCGUGGGAACCUGCCCUUAGGUUCGGCAUAACUCCCCGAAAGGGGUGCUAAUACCGGAUAAUGUCUUCGGACCAAAGAUUUAUCGCCUUUGGAUGGGCCCGCGUUGGAUUAGCUAGUUGGUAGGGUAAAAGCCUACCAAGGCGACGAUCCAUAGCUGGUCUGAGAGGAUGAUCAGCCACACUGGGACUGAGACACGGCCCAGACUCCUACGGGAGGCAGCAGUGGGGAAUAUUGGACAAUGGGCGAAAGCCUGAUCCAGCAAUGCCGCGUGAGUGAUGAAGGCCGUAGGGUUGUAAAGCUCUUUUACCCGGGAUGAUAAUGACAGUACCGGGAGAAUAAGCUCCGGCUAACUCCGUG